rnacentral:rRNA from 1 species
CCGUAGGGUGCGAGCGUUAAUCGGAAUUACUGGGCGUAAAGCGUGCGCAGGCGGUUUUGUAAGACAGAUGUGAAAUCCCCGGGCUCAACCUGGGACCUGCAUUUGUGACUGCAAGGCUAGAGUACGGUAGAGGGGGAUGGAAUUCCGCGUGUAGCAGUGAAAUGCGUAGAUAUGCGGAGGAACACCGAUGGCGAAGGCAAUCCCCUGGACCUGUACUGACGCUCAUGCACGAAAGCGUGGGGAGCAAACAGGAUUAGAUACCCUGGUAGUCCACGCCCUAAACGAUGUCAACUGGUUGUUGGGUCUUUACUGACUCAGUAACGAAGCUAACGCGUGAAGUUGACCGCCGGGGGAGUACGGCCGCAAGGUUG